AGAAGGCUUUGGGAAGAGUAGAAGUUUCUGUUCUUGAAUUCUACUCUUCACCAGCUGUGCGACCAUGGAGAAUUUACUUCACUUCUCAGAUCGUUGGCCUUCUCCUCUAUAAAACGGGGAACCAAUUGAGACUUAACUGAUGGUGAAAAAUAUACAGUCAAGUGUGUUUACUUCACCUUUACAAAGAAUCCGUUACAGUCCCAAUUAAUUUGUUAUUCCUGUCACAACAGGAAGCUGCAGCUAUGCUGACAUAAUCAAACUGUGAUGAUCAGAAUGUUCGAUGCCCACUCCCUGGCAUGGCAUGUGCCUGAGGAUAAAGGAUGCUGUGAGGCUGUGGGAGGGCACACAAGAAUCAGACUGCCUUGGUUUACUCCUCAGCUCCUCUUCUGGCUUGAAUUUGAA